rnacentral:rRNA from 1 species
AUUGAACGCUGGCGGAAUGCUUUACACAUGCAAGUCGAGCGGCAGCACGGGGGCAACCCUGGUGGCGAGCGGCGAACGGGUGAGUAAUACAUCGGAACAUGCCCAGUCGUGGGGGAUAACACUUCGAAAGAAGUGCUAAUACCGCAUACGUCCUGAGGGAGAAAGCGGGGGAUCUUCGGACCUCGCGCGAUUGGAGUGGCCGAUGUCAGAUUAGCUAGUUGGUGGGGUAAAGGCCUACAAAGGCAACGAUCUGUAGCUGGUCUGAGAGGAUGAUCAGCCACACUGGGACUGAGACACGGCCCAGACUCCUACGGGAGGCAGCAGUGGGGAAUUUUGGACAAUGGGGGCAACCCUGAUCCAGCCAUUCCGCGUGAGUGAAGAAGGCCUUCGGGUUGUAAAGCUCUUUCGGCAGGAACGAAACGGCGAGCUCUAACAUAGCUUGCUAAUGACGGUACCCGAAGAAGAAGCACCGGCUAACUACGUGCCAGCCGCCGCCGUAAAAC